UUGGACUGAAGGGAGCUCCCU
rnacentral:miRNA from 25 species